UACGGAGGGGACUAGCGUUGUUCGGAAUUACUGGGCGUAAAGCGCACGUAGGCGGAUUUGUAAGUCAGGGGUGAAAUCCCGGGGCUCAACCUCGGAACUGCCUUUGAUACUGCAAAUCUCGAGUCCGGAAGAGGCGAGUGGAAUUCCGUGGAUGUAGCGGUGAAAUGCGCAGAUAUCAGGAGGAACACCGAUGGCGAAGGCAGCUCGCUGGGACGGUACUGACGCUGAGACGCGAAAGCGUGGGGAGCGAACAGG
rnacentral:rRNA from 1 species